rnacentral:misc_RNA from 1 species
GAUGAAGAACGCAGCGAAAUGCGAUAAGUAGUGUGAAUUGCAGAAUUCAGUGAAUCAUCGAAUCUUUGAACGCACAUUGCGCCCCUUGGUAUUCCAUGGGGCAUGCCUGUUCGAGCGUCAUUUGUACCUUCAAGCUCUGCUUGGUGUUGGGUGUUUGUCUCGCCUCUGCGUGUAGACUCGCCUCAAAAUAAUUGGCAGCCGGCGUAUUGAUUUCGGAGCGCAGUACAUCUCGCGCUUUGCACUCAUAACGACGACGUCCAAAAGUACAUUUUUACACUCUUGACCUCGGAUCAGGUAGGGAUACACGCUGAACUUAAGCAUAUCAAUAAGCGGAGGA